AACGCGAAGAACCUUACCUACCCUUGACAUGUACGGAAUUCUGCUGAGAGGUGGAAGUGCUCGAAAGAGAACCGUAACACAGGUGCUGCAUGGCUGUCGUCAGCUCGUGUCGUGAGAUGUUGGGUUAAGUCCCGCAACGAGCGCAACCCUUGUCAUUAGUUGCUACGAAAGGGCACUCUAAUGAGACUGCCGGUGACAAACCGGAGGAAGGUGGGGAUGACGUCAAGUCCUCAUGGCCCUUAUGGGUAGGGCUUCACACGUCAUACAAUGGUACAUACAGAGGGCUGCCAACCCGCGAGGGGGAGCUAAUCCCAGAAAGUGUAUCGUAGUCCGGAUUGGAGUCUGCAACUCGACUCCAUGAAGUUGGAAUCGCUAGUAAUCGCGGAUCAGCAUGUCGCGGUGAAUACGUUCCCGGGCCUUGUA
rnacentral:rRNA from 1 species